rnacentral:rRNA from 1 species
CCUACGGGUGGCAGCAGUGAGGAAUAUUGGUCAAUGGCCGUAAGCCUGAACCAGCCACGCCGCGUGAAGGAAGAAGGAUCUCUGGUUUGUAAACUUCUUUUAUAGGGGAAUAAAGGUAUCCACGUGUGGAUAUUUGCAUGUACCCUAUGAAUAAGCAUCGGCUAACUCCGUGCCAGCAGCCGCGGUAAUACGGAGGAUGCGAGCGUUAUCCGGAUUUAUUGGGUUUAAAGGGUGCGUAGGUUGUUUUUUAAGUCAGCGGUGAAAGUUUGUGGCUCAACCAUAAAAUUGCCGUUGAAACUGGAGAACUGGAGUGUGUUAGAGGCAGGCGGAAUGCGUGGUGUAGCGGUGAAAUGCAUAGAUAUUACGAAGAACACCGAUGGCGAAGGCAGCUUACUAAGCCAUAACUGACACUGAAGCACGAAAGCGUGGGGAGCAAACAGGAUUAGAUACCCCUGUAGUC